CCCGGUAGUGGGGGAUAACCUGGGGAAACCCAGGCUAAUACCGCAUACGUCCUACGGGAGAAAGCAGGGGAUCUUCGGACCUUGCGCUAUCGGAUGAGCCUAUGUCGGAUUAGCUUGUUGGUGAGGUAAUGGCUCACCAAGGCGACGAUCCGUAGCUGGUCUGAGAGGAUGAUCAGCCACAUCGGGACUGAGACACGGCCCGAACUCCUACGGGAGGCAGCAGUGGGGAAUAUUGGACAAUGGGCGAAAGCCUGAUCCAGCCAUGCCGCGUGUGUGAAGAAGGCUUUCGGGUUGUAAAGCACUUUCAGUGAGGAAGAAGGCCUUGGGGCUAAUACCCCCGAGGAAGGACAUCACCCACAGCGGG
rnacentral:rRNA from 1 species